AACACCCUGUACAUUAAAUUUUUUUAAUAUGGAUUUUUUAGUUGAAAAGAGGAUGAAAAACUAAAUUUAGUGGUAUUCGCGGUGUGCAAGUACUCGGAAGGGAUACGCGAAACGAUCGUGCGCGAAUAGCGGAGAAAUAUUGCAACUUUCUUAAAUAAUUCAUAUUGUCAAUUGAAAUUGUCAAAUUGACGUACAUUUCAUACCUAUAGGCCGUUCCAACAUGCUGUCAAAAUUAAAUCAAUAUGGCUACUGGGAGUAAAAGAUAAAUGCUAUUCUAUCUGUUCUUAAUGUGUUUUAGAUAAAAUUUUAGUUGUAUUUCUUUGUAAUUUUGUGUUGUACAAAGAUUAAUUUAACAGUUUCUCUGGAAGUAUUAAUUUAGAAAGAUAAUAUGCUUCAUUGGUGUUGUGUUUUGAAGUGUGAAAUGCAAAGUAAUCGUGAUAAAGUGAAGAUAAAGUUCACUUUUAAACUGAACUAAAUAAGGUAUCAUCUGAGAGACAACAAUGGUUAAAUGCAAUACAAUGUAAAGGUUUUACUAGCGAAAUGAAAAUUCUCCUGUCUGCUGUAAUCAUUUUAUAUCUGGUAAGUUACAAUUACAACAGUAACGAUUUUUGAAGAUGUUAACACUUUAAUCUUAUAGGAAAACCAGCAGACUUAAUCGAUAAUAACAAUCCAGAUUGGGUUCCUUCAAUAAAUAUGGGCUAUAAACAUUAUGAAAUAAGUUCCCUAAAAUCUAAAAUAAAUGGGUUUCAAAGGAGGUUCCUCAAAAUCUAAAAUGGAGUGGUAUCAAAGAAUAAUUAAAAGAAAAAAUAUUCAUAUUGAAAUUAUUUAUAAGGCACUGGACUGUCUUAAAUUCUACAAAUACUAGAAUCAGCUGAGAGAAGUGGUGUACAAAAAACCAGGAAGGGAAUGGAAUAUGUGGCUACAAAAGGCAAAAGAAAUGAUUACAAAGCAAAUGUGACACAUUUUUUUAAAAAUAUGUAGGAAUAUCAGUAAACUACAUUAAAAAUGUAUGAAAAGAUUUUGUGCAAUAAAAAUGUUUAUAUUUAUCAAA